UGCUGAAGCGAGUGUCGUAGCAAAAAUCCUUACUGCUGGAGAAUGUGGAGGGAGCGGCUGGACAGAGAGACGUGCCUGGGUGGCAGUAGCCUUGAGUUAACUGCAAUGAACACCAUGUACGAAAUCUGCUACGCUAGCAGCCUCUGCGCUGAUGCCACAAAUCCACAACAUCUCCAGGAGCGCUGCAGUGCGCUCCG
rnacentral:lncRNA from 1 species